GCGCGGAGCCGCUGGAGGUGGUGACUGGUUGGUCGGUGGUCAGCGCCAUCCGCCUCACGGUCUCCCUUUUCUUCUGCGCGCGUGUGUGCGGGAGGCCGGGGGGCCCCGUCCCGCCUGGGUCUGCGGCUCCCGGGGCUUGUCUCCUCCUUCCCUCUCCCCAGCCCCGUGCGCCUCCGCAGAGGGAUUUCUCCGCGUCCCUUGCCCGCUGUGGGGGGGGCGUCCCACCGGCCCGCGCCCCUUCCCUCCUCGCUCCCGGCCGGGGGUUUGCGGCGCUUCCCUCUGGAUGCGUCCCCGCAGCCCCGGGCGGGAGGCGGCCAGAGGGAAGCGCUGCCUCCGAGGAUUUACCGCCGUCUGGGACUCGGACCCGCGCCGCCGUCGUCCCCUUCCCCGUGGGGCCACCCGGCGCCCCGGCUCCGCCGCCGCUCCAGGCCGCCGCCGCCAUGGAUGAGAAGUACCUGCCCGAGCUGAUGGCGGAGAAGGACUCGCUGGACCCGUCCUUCACCCACGCCCUGCGGCUGGUCAACCAAGAAAUUGAAAAAUUCCAAAAAGGGGAAGGGAAGGAAGAAGAAAAGUAUAUUGAUGUAGUCAUCAAUAAAAAUAUGAAGCUGGGACAAAAAGUUUUGAUUCCGGUAAAACAAUUCCCUAAGUUCAACUUUGUGGGAAAACUUUUGGGUCCACGUGGCAAUUCUCUAAAGCGCUUACAGGAAGAAACACUGACAAAAAUGUCUAUUUUGGGAAAAGGUUCUAUGAGGGACAAGACAAAGGAGGAAGAGUUGAGAAAAAGUGGAGAGGCAAAGUACUUCCACCUGAAUGAUGACCUGCAUGUUCUAAUUGAAGUAUUUGCUCCACCGGCAGAAGCAUAUGCCAGAAUGGGACAUGCUUUGGAAGAAAUCAAGAAGUUCCUCAUCCCUGACUACAAUGAUGAAAUCAGACAGGCACAGCUUCAAGAAUUAACAUAUUUAAAUGGAGGUUCGGAAAAUGCAGAAGUUCCAGUGGUUCGUGGAAAAGCAUCUAUUCGAGCGAGAGGAGUGCCAGUUCCUGCUUUGUCCAGCAGGCUGUGUCUGGGAACUUCACUGCUCACCCCUGCCCCCACUACAAUGAAGUCAAAUAAGCAGCUGGUACCCUGUCCUGAGGAGGCAUUCUACAGAUUAGCCAAAACCAAGGGCCGUGGGGGAGUGCCUCCACCACCAGCAGGAGUACCGAGAGGGGCACCAGCACCCAGAGGAGUGCCUCCCAGUAGAGGACCAGUCAGUCGUAGCCGUGGACUUCUAGCACCCAGAGCAAGAGGAGUACCUCCACCUGCAGGCUACCGGCCCCUUCCACCGCCUCCAGCGCAGGACACUUAUGGUGAAUAUGAGUAUGAUGAUGGUUAUGGAACUGCUUAUGAUGAACAAAGCUAUGAUUCCUAUGAUAACAGCUAUAGCACUCAAGCACAAAGUGGGGCAGAUUACUAUGACUAUGGCCAUGGACUGAGUGAAGAAACAUAUGACUCUUACGGGCAAGAAGAAUGGACCAACUCAAGACACAAGGCACCUUCUGCAAGGACAACAAAAGGAGUCUACAGAGACCAGCCAUAUGCCAGAUACUGAUUGUACUGUCUGAUGUUGUGAAAUAUCCAAUCUCCACCAGUCCUGUAUACUGUUCAAAGAAACCCAUCUCCUUGGACAGCCAAGAGAACAAAAACCUUAAUCUUCUGAUGCUUUGGAACUUCUGCCAUGUUAAUUACGGACUGCUUAGAGCAUUGUACUCAUCCGUGUGCCUAGACAACAAGACAGGCUACGGAAUAUGAAAACCCUGUUCUGUAUUUCUUGUAUUAAAGCCUUAAAGUGUAUAAUAUUAUACACUUUUUAAAAUAAUUGUAUAUUUAAACUCUCAAUUGUUUAGUGAUGCAACAGUGUUUUAUUUGGAGCUCAAUAAAGAAUUUUCAUCUAAUUUCCUGUUACAAAGCAAUAAUGCAACCUCAUGUUCCUUUAGUGAUUCUUUUUAGCCUUAUGCAGCAAGUGUAAGAGUGUGAAGUCUCAUGACUAGAAUUUAAAUGCUUUUGGAAAUAGCUUGUCUAAUGUAUGAACAACAUGGUUAAGUUAAAAUGAAGAUUGGUGGGGUUUGCUGAAGCUUUUUGUAAUAGCUAAUUGUAAACAGGUCUACUCAAAACAAGACCCUUGGGUAGAAAUGAUACUACAACUUCCAUUUCCUUCAGAAACUUGUAUAACACGAAGGUGUGUUGAUCCCUGUCAAUUAUACUGUACUGCCUAUUCUCUUUCACUUGGUGUUUGAUGCAUAGAAAUGUUUUAUCUAAUACAGUCACAGAUUUUCUAGUAGUAGUCUUGGAUGAGGCUUUUACACCUUGAUAAAUCUUGUAUCUAACAGUUCAGUUUCCUCAGUGCUUUCUCUGUUUUAUAUUAAUUGUGAUUGUGAUAUUUGUAACAGAAAUAAAAUUAUGAUAAUUUAA